AAAAAGCUCGUAGUUGGAUUUUGGUUAAGAGGGCGCGGUCGGCCGUAUGGUCUGUACUGCGUUGUCUUGACUUCCUGAUGAGGACAUGCUCUUGGUUAACGCUGAGACAUGGAGUCAUCGUGGUUACUUUGAAAAAAUUAGAGUGUUCAAAGCGGGCUUACGCUUGAAUAUAUUAGCAUGGAAUAACACUAUAGGACUCCUGUCCUAUCUCGUUGGUCUCGGGAUGGGAGUAAUGAUUAAGAGGAACAGUUGGGGGCAUUCGUAUUUCAUUGUCAGAGGUGAAAUUCUUGGAUUUAUGAAAGACGAACUUCUGCGAAAGCAUUUGCCAAGGAUGUUUUCAUUAAUCAAGAACGAAAGUUGGGGGCUCGAAGAUGAUUAGAUACCAUCCUAGUCUCAACCAUAAACGAUGCCGACUAGGGAUUGGCGGAUGUUAAUUGAUGACUUCGCCAGCACCUUAUGAGAAAUCAAAGUUUUUGGGUUCCGGGGGGAGUAUGGUCGCAAGGCUGAAACUUAAAGGAAU
rnacentral:rRNA from 1 species